rnacentral:lncRNA from 1 species
UCCUCUUCCAGCCUCUCCUCUUGCUAAUAAAAUGCAGCAACGGCGCUGUAAAAAAAUCUUUCUUUGGUAAACAACGACUUUUGCUGUUCUCAGGGAUUGUUUUUGUAGAGUCUUCCUGGCAGAUACUGGGUUUAUGCUGAGAACUUUGUGUUGUAUUUUUGCACGCCUGUUUAGGGUGUCUUAAGGGUUUAGUUCUGCUCUAUGGAUUAUUUUUUCUUUCAUUCUCAGCCUAGGGAGAAGGUUCAGUCGGUGAGAGUGCUUGCUCUGAAAACAUAAGGACUCUAGUUCAAAUCCCUGGCACAUACAUGGAGAGCUGGGCGUGUCUGAAGCCCCCACUGCAGGGCAACAACAGGUGGAUUGUGACAAUCCAUUGACCCAGAAAAGUGAACUUCAAGGUGAUAAGGCAGAGUGAUCCAGAAAGACACUUAAGAUAGUAUUCUGGUCUCCAUGUGCAUACAUACAGACAUGUAUGCCUGUAUAUUCAUGUGCAGGUAACACACACACACACACACACACACACACACUCAGAUUCCCCACAUGAAUACAUACAAAUAAUUUUAAAAUUUUUUAAAGGGGGUCUACACUUUGCAGCAAUAGGACCUCUACCGACCAACCUGUCUUUGUCUUGUCCAAAGGACUGUGACUACCUUGCAGGGUUCACCCUUGAGAACAGCAUGUGGGUAAGGUUUUCUUUAUAAGACUGGCCAGCCUGGUGAGGGCCUGGCUAAAGAUGGACAGUUUGUAAAUUAAGGAACCCAUGCAAUAGCAGGUCAGGAAAGGGACUGGACUGCCAACAUCUGGAAAAGCCGAGGGAUACGUGAUGACUUGGAAGAGAAUCAUCUCCUUCUGUCUUAUGGCCAGCACGCACGGGACAGUGUUAGAAAGGAUGCCGACGUCUCUUAUGUGUCAUGAAAAGAAGUCCAUUCUGAAGAGCGAGCUGUAAAGAAACACAGACAGUUUGAUCCUGUGUUUGCUACAGAGAAAUUCUGACCAGCAACACCGUUGCUUUCCUUUGUUUGUGCAUGCAGCAGCACAGCAUCGGCAGAUGUGGCCUAUUUACCUGGAGCGCCCAGCACCAGUGUAGGAUCUGCAGCCCAGAAGUGGAGUUUGGGAGAGAAACUGCAGAGCAGAAGCAUGACUGAAGUUCUCAAAGCUAUUUCCUUCUGGGGCCUCCCAGGAGGAAAAGAGGAAGAUCUCAAGGAUGGGAUCUAGAUGUGGGAGAGAAGGGAGGGGGAGAGAGAGGGAGGGGAGGGGAGGUAGAGUAGGAGGGAAAAGAGAGAAGUGGGGGGUGGGGGGGAAGAUAGGUCAGCACGGAGAGGAUAGAGGAGGGGGGAGGAGAGCCUGUUGCACACGAAGUUUGGAGGGGUUCCUGAACCCUCAGUUCUCAGAAGUUUGUUUUCCCUUGCUGUCUACAGGCCGAGCCCCAAGGCUGGAACAACAGAGAC